GAUGAACGCUAGCGGCAGGCUUAAUACAUGCAAGUCGAACGGUAAGGUCUCUUCGGAGAUACACGAGUGGCGCACGGGUGCGUAACGCGUAUGCAACCUACCUUUAACUGGGAAAUAGCCCCGAGAAAUCGGGAUUAAUGUCCCAUAUUAUACUUUGAAUACCUAUUCGAGGAAUGAAAGCUCCGGCGGUUAUUGAUGGGCAUGCGUGACAUUAGCUAGUUGGUGAGGUAACGGCUCACCAAGGCAACGAUGUCUAGGGGUCCUGAGAGGGUUAACCCCCACACUGGUACUGAGACACGGACCAGACUCCUACGGGAGGCAGCAGUAAGGAAUAUUGGGCAAUGGACGCAAGUCUGACCCAGCCAUGCCGCGUGAAGGAUGAAUGUCCUAUGGAUUGUAAACUUCUUUUAUGCAGGAAAAAUAUCCCGGUCGUGAACCGGGACUGAUGGUACUGUAUGAAUAAGCAUCGGCUAACUCCGUGCCAGCAGCAGCCGCGG
rnacentral:rRNA from 1 species